UGCAGGUUCGAGCCCCGACCAGUGCAGUCAGUAAAUCAACAAUCAAUCAAUAAUCAAUCAUUCUACGAAAUCGCUUACUGCCCCUUUAAAGGACGAGAUUGGUGUUGGACCAUUUCUUUUUAUUAUUCACCAAAUCCCAUGGGGGAAAAAUCCCAACCAACUCUCUGACCGUCCUACCGAUCUGUGUCAGUCACUGCAGUCAGUUGUACGGAAGACAAAUGAUGACUAUGGGUAACAAAUUCAUAAUUUAAUUCACCCAAAAGGUUCAGAAGUUUUCCUAAAAAAAAAAAACCUGCAGCUGGAGGUUUUAUCAAACGUGACUCAAACAGCAGGAAGACACUGGUAAUGUGACUAUUUUUAAGAGGCAGAUUAAUGAACAUGUGAUGUUCUAGUGAGUGUGUGUUGGCACAAACUCAAAGUACACAACAGAGUGUGACUGAUCAUCUCACUCAUAUCAGAUGUCACACACACACGCAAUCGUUCUUAGAUCAAUUCAUUGCAGGUGUUGUUGGAAGAAAACUAUAGAAUAUCACCAAAACACAUAUUUAGGCGCAACAAAUGCAAACUGCUCUUUCUUGUAAACUAGAAUUAAUACCAAAAGUUACUUUUGAGAGUGUAAAUCAAACUUGUUUACUGUUAAUACCAGUGGUGUUGCAUCCUGUUUGAGUAAACCAUGUACCCAUUUGGAUUUAGCAUUAGAGCAUGUCUCGGACGAGAAGUAUUAAACUAUAAAUAUUCUACAGGAGCCUGCUGAAGUGAGCACACCUUCAGUCGGUCGUUGUGCGUGUGUGUGUGUGUGUGUGUGUCAGGAGCGUCAGUCUGGUGACAGAUUACCAAUCCCGUGCUCGUCCCAGACCCUGACCGGAGCUUUUGAACGAACUACAUAGAUAAUGAGGGGAGAGAGAAAGGAUAAAAAAAAACAAAAGACACUGAUGGAAUCUCCCCCCUCCUUUUUGCUUACUAUGUAGGCCACUAGCUGUGAAACUUGUCUCGUUUUUAAUGGAACAAAAAAACAUUUGCAGAUGGAGUAUUUUAAAUAAACACUAAUCAUGUAACAGAGAUGUGUUGUGGUCAUUGACAGUUGUUUUGUGUGUUUGAUCUGUGACCGUGAGAAGAUCAAUAAUGCGUGUCAGUGUUGGACUCCUGGAUUCAUCCUGCAAACGCAGCCUACGUCACCUGGAGCAACCUCGCCCGAAACAAAGACGACGUCCAAUGACAUCAUGAGAAAAUGAGAACGUGAAGGCACCAGAGAAUCGUUCACUCUCCUCUCAUCAUGAAGAUUUGGUCAUUGGACCUUCAGAGGUACCAACAGGAGUUAAGUGAAUGAAUGAGUCAACGUCUGUCAUGUCGCAUUGGAUUCUGCUCUAUGAUGAGAUCAUCACUCACCAGUUCGAAGAUGGCGGAUUCUGCUAUGAGCAAGCGAAUACCAGUGUGGUUUCACCCUGCCAAGAAGACGACGACACAAUCGAGAAGGAAAACUGGAGUCAGCAGAAAUUAGCUCGUUGAAGAUGCAUCUGCUCAGGUUGUGAACGUCCCACCAGCAGCAGCAGCACGUGAACGCAUCGGUGCCAGGCCUGUUUGACUAAGACUUAGGCAAGAACACAAGGAGACGUGACCUGCAUCACUGGCUGAUGAGGCCUUAACUCUCAAACGUCCGAGUGAGGAAGAGCAGAUCACCGGCGCCUUGUGCGAGUGAAAACCAUCCCGGGACCAACUCGUCACUUGAUACACACAAUAAUGUGGGAUUGUACGGAUGUAGCCUCGGCACCCCCCCGGCAUCAGGACUCCGCGACUUUUUGUCGAGUCAAGGUAUGAAGUAGCAUGAAAUGGCAAAGUACAAGUACUUAAAAGAUGUAACUUUCACGACAGAACAUGAACCAAAGCCAACGUGCAGAGACUCGGGGGCUCGUUCGACGGAGGUGAUCCGUCAGCGUCAGCAAACAUCACUCCCGCUUUUGUUGUCGUCGUCGUCGUCGUCGUCGUGGUUGUCGUGUGGCGAUGUGUAGUUCCGCCUCCUUACUUCAAUCUGUAGACGUAAAAAUUUGGGGGCGGGGCCUGACUGAGAGCUCGUCCACCGCGCGCCCACCUUCACCUGCAACCGCGCACCGAUUGGACGGAGCAGUUGUCAAUGACAGCGUCCACACGCCGAUGUGAACAGUGUUUUAUCAUCUAUUGUAGGGCUGCGACUAACGGUCGUUUUCAUAAUCGAUAAGUCUGUCGAUUGUUUUCUCGAUUAAUCGAUCAGUCGUUUGGUCCAUAAAAUGUCCACCGAGAUGAUGAUUUGUUUU